rnacentral:rRNA from 1 species
CCCCUAGAUGUCCUGGGCCGCACGCGCGUUACACUGAUGCAUUCAACGAGCUUAUAACCUUGGCCGAGAGGCCUGGGCAAUCUUGUUAACGUGCAUCGUGAUAGGGAUAGAUUAUUGAAAUUAUUAAUCUUGAACGAGGAAUUCCUAGUAAACGCAGAUCAUCAAUCUGCAUUGAUUACGUCCCUGCCCUUUGUACACACCGCCCGUCGCACCUACCGAUUGGAUGGUCCGGUGAAGCCUCGGGAUUGUGGUUCUUGCCGCUUUAUUGUGGCGUGACCGCGAGAACUUGUCUAAACCUUAUCAUCUAGAGGAAGGUGAAGUCGUAACA